rnacentral:lncRNA from 10 species
GUCUGAUACAUACAUUUUAUCUGUCAUGUGUGUCACAGUGGAAAAAAAGGUUGGGAAAUACGGUUUUAAAUGGUUGUCUUCGUCCAUUUCCUAUUGCUUGUAACAGAAUACCUAAAACUGGGUAAUUUAUAAAGAAACAAAAUGUAUUUCUUAUAGUUCUGGAGGCCGAGAAGUCCAAGGUUGAGGGGCUGCAUGUGGGAGCGUCUUUUUGCUGGUGGAGACUCUCUAUAGAGUCCUGAGGGUCUGUUCUGAUUACAACCUUACUCCCUUUAUAGAUUAACAGUGGGUCCUCAGUUCAAGCAUGAGUGACAUAAAGUAAGUUGUUAGCACAAUUCACCAGCAUCUGUUUACUUGUUACUAUGCUUCCUUCUUGGGAGGCAUUCCAAUUACAAUGACUCAGUUACCUCCUCCACCUAGGGGGACUGUGAAAAACAAACUUUUAAGCUGAAAUAUUCAAACUAUUUGACAUCAGUCUGAAAAGAUGCAUUGUUCAUCCAUUCAAUAGACAUUGAUUGCCUACCCUGCAAGGUGCUGCCAUGGGUUGCAGGACCCAUGAUGCUGACCGGCAGAUAGGAUUCCUACUAGCGAAGCUUGCAGUGUAAUAAGGGCCAGAGUUGUGGGGCACAGUGCAGGAUACAGGGCAGAUGAUAGAGCGAGGCUGUCUGAAGCAAGAAUGGAACCUUGGGCAUUUUAGAGCAGUGAAUCAGUCCUUCAGGACCAUGUGCUCAGUUUUUGCUUGAAAUGUAACCACAAAACACACUUCCCAAAACAGGGAGUUUUGUUUCCUAGUAUAUUCAGUUCUGCAGUAGGGCAGAUAAUUUGGCAGGGAUUCCAAUCCACUACAUUCGAUACUGCUUUGACCCAGACUAGUUAACUCUAGAGGUUGGGGCUCCAUAUGUGAAGCAAAGUUGCUGAGCUAUUAAAAAAUAAGACAUAUGAGGAAAGGUUAAAAUAUGAGAUUAUGAAGCUGAUUGAGGGAAAUUGCUGGUGAUUUAAAUAAUGGCUUUCAGACCUCCAAUGUGUAUAUGAUUGAUGCUGGGC